rnacentral:lncRNA from 10 species
UUCGGUGCAGAUGGAUGGACCGUCUGGGCUGCGGAGUCCACGGGCCUGAAACGCGGUCGCUCCUGACCCGUCCUCCGCAACCCUCGUCCCACCAGGCCGCGGUUCCCGGAGCAGGCCGGCGGGUGGCAGGAAGACACCAGGCUGCAGGGGGCUGGAGAAGCAACACCCCUCUCCCUCCCCGCCAGAGAACUGGAGCGCGGGGACCUCGGUUGCGGAUGCUAGCUGCGAGCCGGGUUGCUAGGCGACAUCGAGACGGGAUUUCACCAUGUUGGUCAGACUGGUCUCGAACUCCUGACCUCAGAUGAUCCACCAGCCUCGGCCUCCCAAAGAGCUGGGAUUACAGGCGUGAGCCACCACGCCCAGCCGGGAAGCUUUUAAGGCCGGAUGUGACACAGACCCAGUUUCCACGGAUGAAACCUGCAAGUGUGGCUGGAAAACAACCUGUCCGGCUGCGUCUUAAGGACGAGGAAGACGGGGCAAGGGUUUUCCAGCAAAGACGCCCAAAGCAGCUCGCCCCAAGAGGCCCUUCGUUCAAGGAAUCGAGAAUGGCCGGGCAGACAGCGACUGGUUGCAGA